GGUUAUAUCACAUUGAAAUACCAGUUCCUGUAUGAUCACUGAAGUUAAAUAAUGUUGAGCCUAGUCAGUACCUAGAUGGGUGACUGCUUGGAAAUACCAGCUGCUGAAA